GGUCUCAGGCUUGUAUACCAUCUAAGUACAGUUUUAAAACUAGGUGCUUAGAAAAAGGAGAGAGAGAGUAAAGCUGUCCUAUGUACACUUCAGCCCAGGCCUUGUGACUUGUUUGUAUUGUGAACGGGGAAACAUAA
ensembl:snoRNA small nucleolar RNA SNORA51